rnacentral:rRNA from 1 species
UACAGAGGGGGCAAGCGUUGUUCGGAAUUACUGGGCGUAAAGGGCGCGUAGGCGGCCCGCUAAGUCGAACGUGAAAUCCCCAGGCUCAACCUGGGAACUGCGUCCGAUACUGGCAGGCUUGAAUCCGGGAGAGGGAUGUGGAAUUCCAGGUGUAGCGGUGAAAUGCGUAGAUAUCUGGAGGAACACCGGUGGCGAAGGCGGCAUCCUGGACCGGUAUUGACGCUGAGGCGCGAAAGCUAGGGGAGCAAACAGG